rnacentral:rRNA from 1 species
UAACGCGAAGAACCUUACCAAGGCUUGACAUACACCGGAAAGCAUUAGAGAUAGUGCCCCCCUUGUGGUCGGUGUACAGGUGGUGCAUGGCUGUCGUCAGCUCGUGUCGUGAGAUGUUGGGUUAAGUCCCGCAACGAGCGCAACCCUUGUUCUGUGUUGCCAGCAUGCCCUUCGGGGUGAUGGGGACUCACAGGAGACUGCCGGGGUCAACUCGGAGGAAGGUGGGGACGACGUCAAGUCAUCAUGCCCCUUAUGUCUUGGGCUGCACACGUGCUACAAUGGCAGGUACAAUGAGCUGCGAAGCCGUGAGGCGGAGCGAAUCUCAAAAAGCCUGUCUCAGUUCGGAUUGGGGUCUGCAACUCGACCCCAUGAAGUCGGAGUUGCUAGUAAUCGCAGAUCAGCAUCGCUGCGGUGAAUACGUUCCCGGGUCUUGUACACACCGA